rnacentral:lncRNA from 1 species
CAGUAACUGUGGUCUAUUACCGACUCAAAGAGUGAUCUCGCCUUUCUUCGAUCCUCUAACUUCUUCUAGACCCUACAUAGAAGUGUGCAAGUGAGCACUUGAAUUAGAAUCUAGAACCUAACUAGAAAAAGAGGGAACCAUUAGAUUAGUUUCAAUUAUGAAUAAAUCAAACGUACCUUCAGAAUGCCAUCUUUCUUCUUAUUCUUCAUAGUUGCC